CAGAGAGUGGUGAAUCUCUGGAAUUCUCUGCCACAGAAGGCAAUGGAGGCCAAUUCACUGGAUGUUUUCAAGCAGGAGUUCGAUUUAGCUUUUUGGGCUCAAUGAAUCAAGGGAAAUGGGG